UCCCUCUUAGCUCAGUUGGUAGAGCGCGUCACUAGUACAGAAAUGCACUAUGACGAGGUCAGUCGUUCAAGUCGGCUAGAGGGAA
rnacentral:tRNA from 1 species